rnacentral:tRNA from 1 species
UCCCUGAUGGCUCAGGGGUUAAAGCAUCUGCCUCCAAUGCAGGAGACCCAGGUUCAAUCCCUGGGUCAGGAAG